rnacentral:rRNA from 1 species
GAUAAACGCUGGCGGUGUGCUUUAUGCAUGCAAGUCGAACGGGUUCCGCAAGGAACCAGUGGCAGACGGGUGAGUAACGCGUAAGUGACCUGCCCUUAAGUGGGGAACAACUCUGAGAAAUCGGAGCUAAUACCGCAUGAAAUCCUUUUUAUAAAGAUGAAGGAUUAAAGCCGCAAGGCGCUUUUGGAGGGACUUGCGCCCGAUUAGCUAGUUGGUGAGGUAACGGCCCACCAAGGCGACGAUCGGUAGCUGGUUUGAGAGGACGACCAGCCACACGGGGACUGAGACACGGCCCCGACUCCUACGGGAGGCAG